rnacentral:pre_miRNA from 1 species
UUUGUACUCCCUCCGUCCCAAAAUUCUUGUCUUAAAUUUGUCUAAAUACGAAUGUAUCUAGUUACAUUUUAGUGUUAGAUACAUCCAUAUCUAAACAAAUGUAAGACAGGAAUUUUGGGACGGAGGGAAUACUAC